rnacentral:misc_RNA from 1 species
UAUGUUAUUGGAAACGGCGGUGUCAAGGUCCCAGUAUCGGAUCUUGUCGGGAAGAACAUCCUCCUCUACUUCUCUGCCCACUGGUGCCCGCCAUGCCGUGCCUUCCUACCCCAAUUAGUCAAAACAUACCACAAGAUCAAGGAGGAGGACAAUGCCUUCGAGAUGAUAUUCAUCUCCAGUGACCGCGACCAAGAGUCCUUUGACGACUACUUUGCAACCAUGCCAUGGUUAGCUCUUCCCUUCGGAGACACAAGAAAGAAGUCCCUGUCUCGAUUGUUCAAGGUCCGCGGCAUCCCGAG